UGGGGAAUUUUGGACAAUGGGCGAAAGCCUGAUCCAGCAAUGCCGCGUGUGUGAAGAAGGCCUUCGGGUUGUAAAGCACUUUUGUCCGGAAAGAAAUCCUUGGCUCUAAUACAGUCGGGGGAUGACGGUACCGGAAGAAUAAGCACCGGCUAACUACGUGCCAGCAGCCGCGGUAAUACGUAGGGUGCAAGCGUUAAUCGGAAUUACUGGGCGUAAAGCGUGCGCAGGCGGUUUGCUAAGACCGAUGUGAAAUCCCCGGGCUCAACCUGGGAACUGCAUUGGUGGCUGGCAGGCUAGAGUAUGGCAGAGGGGGGUAGAAUUCCACGUGUAGCAGUGAAAUGCGUAGAGAUGUGGAGGAAUACCGAUGGCGAAGGCAGCCCCUGGGCCAAUACUGACGCUCAUGCACGAAAGCGUGGGGAGCAAACAGGAUUAGAUACCCUGGUAGUCCACGCCCUAAACGAUGUCAACUAGUUGUGGGGAUUCAUUUCCUAGUAACGUAGCUAACGCGUGAAGUUGACCGCCUGGGGAGUACGGUCG
rnacentral:rRNA from 1 species